UUUAGUGAUUUUGUUAUUUGAUUACCAAGACCAAUGGGAAUAUUUCGUCGAAUUGUACACAGUGUAAGAUGCCUAUCAAACUCUAAUCUUCAACUGAAACUAACAGAUAAUUGUCAACAGAAAAUUAAAAAACUAAUAAAAAAUGGCCGCUUCCUGCGUGUUUACGUAGACGGAGGUGGCUGUCAUGGUUUUCAAUACAAGUUUAUGGUUGAUGAUACUCUUGCAGAAGAUGACAU